CACGUAGGGGGCGAGCGUUGUCCGGAUUUAUUGGGCGUAAAGAGCUCGUAGGCGGUUCGAUAAGUCGGGUGUGAAAACUCUGGGCUCAACUCAGAGACGCCACCCGAUACUGUUGUGACUUGAGUCCGGUAGGGGAGUAUGGAAUUCCCGGUGUAGCGGUGAAAUGCGUAGAGAUCGGGAAGAACAUCAGUGGCGAAGGCGGCCUGCUGGGCUGUUGCUGACGCUGAGGCGCGACAGCGUGGGGAGCGAACAGG
rnacentral:rRNA from 1 species